UUGGAAGGAAGCCCUAACUCUUUGGCGCACUCACUUCCUAUCGCGUGCACGCGCCAUCAGGUGUCAUAAUUAGGGUACACCUUUUCUGUCGGCAGACCUAACGUCCAAAUCAUAGUAUUAUUUAUAAAACAGUAGGCGAAAAGAACAAGUUAAAAUAGUCCUCGAUUCCUCACAAAUGAAUUUGGAUUAUAAACUCCUGACAAGAUGCAUUCACCAAAGCUGUGUGAUUGUAAACAGUAAUUGGCAUCACUGAACAAUCAGUGGAUUGUAAAGAAGGUGGAAAAACAACAAUCAAGAACUCUACUCAAGUAAAGCAACACCACAGCUCUCUGUAUGAAACCACCACUGAUCCGGCACUCUGAAAUCACCUCUAGUCCAGAAAAACCAAUGAAAGAACGAGAGGCUGUGGGGGAGAGCAUGAGGAUGGGUGGGCGUUUGGUGGAAGUGUCAAAUCUUGACAAGUAUGGAAGCUCAAAGCAAGAAUGCAUCCGCAUUGAAUAUUGAAGGCAGGAGAGAGAGAGAGUGAGAGCGGUCAGGAUGAGUCUGGAUGUUUAUAUUCCUGCGGAGCGCGGAGAGCAUCUCUCGUCUCCCACCUCAAAUGGCUUUCAUUCUGCCUGUCUUGAUUGUGAAGAGACUGGUCCACGUUGGUUUGAACCCUGGCGGCUUUUGGCAGACGCUUCCUGACUGUCUUGAUUACAGCCGUUCAGAGGAGACUUUCUGGAGGGAGAGAGGGUUUUCUUUUCAGAACUCCGAAGACUUUCAUAUUUGGUAGUGGGGUAUGAGUGAGAGAGAUGGGAUCAUUAGAAAUGGAUUUUGUGGAGUCAUGAAUUAUAUUGACACCUCAAUCCUGUUCAGUCAUUUUGAUUGUCGGUGUAAGGUUGUAAAAUGAGCAUGUUGUGAUAUACAGAGGAGAUCAAAAUUACAAAAUGUAUACGAUUUAUUGGGAAAUAAAACAUGGGUCUGACAGCUAGUAGUAAAGCCCUAUUUAUUUGGUAGACUAAAAAGGGUCAAACACUUUUAGAAUUGCAAACAUCGUUUUCUGUGAGGGUACACACACCGGUGCUGACAUUUACAUGUGUUUGCUUUGCUUAGUAACAUAUUGACCACCAUGUAAAGGCAGGAUGUGUUGUGGCUUGGCGCAAUGCGACACGUCAGGAGUGUGACCUGCUUAAGGCAAUGUUUACACGACCUGGUGUAGCACAACUGUUUACACAACUGUUGUAGCCAAAAAUGCUCAAGUUUGUCAAAUAAAAUAUUUAUGUGUCUUUAAAAAAU
rnacentral:lncRNA from 1 species